AAGCCCGAGCACGUGCCAACGAAAAGUGAUGACGUCAAGGCAAGAUGGCGCGUGCACCACACCCGUCUUUCAUCUGUGCGUGUUUUCUGGCUUAGCAGGCUACCUUUCACACACAUGGUGUUUCUUUCUCUUUUCUUGCGGAAGCGUAAUUGACUAACAAAGUUGAAAUUGUUCGCACUGGAUAUGGCGCUAUUAUACGGCCUCGAGGAAUGUUUGCGUGCGUUUGUGCGCGCUUUGUUUGCUUCCACGCCCUUAUGACGGUAAUUCUUACGCUGAACCACAUAACACCACCAGAAAGGUCUUCAGGAACGCUAUUCUCAACAAAUAAAAGCGGGAGGAGCACCAGUGGCGUUAGCGCAGUGGUUAAGGCCGUCUGCUGCUGUGGAGAAGGUGGCCGGUUCGAUCCCCAAUGCGGGCGUGCAUUCCGAUGGGUUCGAAAUGCAAGAGCGCUCGUGUAUACCACGCAUUGCAUUCACGACGACGGUGAUAAAAAAUAAGCUGCAUCAUAACCUGAUUGUUUUCUGCCACGUAAAACCCAUGGAAUUACUACUUUUUUAUAUUUUUUUAGUGAGCUUGCCGGAAGUUGGGUUCGCUUGGCAACAUCCGUCCACUCAGUUUGCAAAUGGCGUUCGAACAGCGGAGGGCGUCGGUCCACAACCUUGCCUUCGGGGAUCAUCAGCGCAAGACGAAACGAGCAUUCGAGAAGCUCCGGAUUCCAGCUGGCGUUUGUGUAAGGACCUGAGCACUACCGGCCAUGGGCGGAACCAGAUUGUCGACGGGCAUUCUCGUGGCUCAUGGUUCGAACAACGCGAGGACGGACAACCGGGCCAAGCUAUAUUUCCCUGCAGACUAGGAUUUCCCCGUCGCUCAUGGUUUGAACAACUAGGGGAUGAACAGCCGGGCCAAGUUCUGUUUCCCAGGAGAGAAGAUGAGUGCAAUCCUUUCUAUUGCUUUGAAGUUGAGCAAUCACGCUUAGUGAACUUUUUUGUGUAGCAGCUAUGCGAUCUGUACCUUUGGUUGAUUUAUGCUACCGAGAUGAAACAGAGGGCAUUCCUCUGUAAUUUUAAUCACUACCUUGUAGACCAGCCUCUUUUCUAGCCAGUGGUUUUAGGUCACUGACGCAACCUUUGUUCUUUUUUUUAACAAGCGCCCAGGUGAAUGUGCAUCGAUGCAAGCCUUAAUCGUAUCUCCAAUGUGUUGCAGUGUCCGCAUUCCGAGGAGCAACACGUGCGUAUGCCGGUUGCUGUCACGACAAGAAUCAAGCCUUCCGGCUUCAGCAAGGAAUCAAUCGCCGUGCGGAGUCGACUCAAGCGCAUGUGUGGUGCAGCGUCCGCUGGACUGGGAGGCUGUGUAAUCUGGUGACUCGUCUUCAGCCAUUCAUUACAGCGAGGAACCUGGUCGAAAGCGCAUCGAAGCAACCACUGGGUACCCGUACCUGGAAUAUUUCGUAGGACUUUCCGGUAGCUCGUGUUUCGAACGAAGCAGGGACGGACAGCCGGGCCAAGCUACGUUUUCUCCAGCAGGCGAGAACUUCCCCGACGCUCAUGGUUCGAACGACGGGGAGACGGAACAGCUGGGCCAAGUUCCUCUUCCCAAGAGACAAGGGCUACUGUAGCGGAAUCUUGGACGACAGCCUCCCCACUAAAGCCCACACCGCUUUCCCCGAUGCUGACUUUGCGUUCCAGCAUGACCAUGCGCCGGUGCACACUGCGGAGAUUGUGAAAGAGCACUUAGGAACCCGUAGAGUCCAUCUGUUUUCCUGGCCGGCCGAGGGUGCUGACGAUGACAUCUGCGAAAAUGUAUGAAGGCGACACCCGAUUUAUGCACCUGAUGGUGCGAUGGCACCCGAUGGUGCGACACCCGAUUUAUUCGGCGACUGAGGACGAGAUAUGGGUAGCUGUUUGCCAAGAGUGAGGAACAUCUUACAGCAAGUAACCCCGUGCCUGCCCUGUACUCUUCAAUACCGUCUGGAAUGGCCGCAGUUGUUGAUGAGAAAGGAGAUAUGACACACUAUUAAAGAAUCAAGCAGCGAGUAAUUGCAAUUUCAUACAUUUCUUCAUAUGCUGCGCAAAAUAAAAGGUUGGAUGUUUAUGUUUA